AUUCUCAAUUGAAACAAAUAAUGC
rnacentral:siRNA from 1 species